AUCGAUUGAAUCAUUGGAGGCCCUUGUCUUGAUUCCCCUGUGUUCUGCAGGAAGACACUAGGCAAAAGUUGGUAGUCUCUGACUAUAAAGUUCGCCAGCUAGAAACCCAACUUUCCGAAGAGGAGUCAACCUCUGAAAGUCGAAAAAUUGUAAUUAUGCUCUUUCAUGCCUGCUUAAAUAUUUUUGUAGUUAUCUUCACCUGCAAAUAGCUGUUGAAGUUAAGUUCCUUACCAUAUUGGGGGAUGUUUGCUUAGAGAGUUGAAGAACUUGAACAUGAGAUGAGAGGACUGAGGAAGGAGCUUGAGAGUGAAAAGGUAGACAUGAAAAUUUUUCUUUUGCCUUCUACAGUGUUGUAAAUGGUACAACACGCUAAAUGUAUCCACUUGUAGGCAAGGUUUCUGUAGGCAUUUAUCUUGUUACUUUUUUAAGCUGACAUAUUUCUUGCUGUUGGUAGCAGGCAGCUCGAGAAGAAGCAUGGGCUAAAGUUUCUGCACUUGAACUAGAGAUAAAUGCUGCUAUGCGAGAUCUUGAUUUUGAGAGACGAAGGCUAAAAGCUGCCAGAGAAAGAAUUAUGCUUAGGUAAAGAUGUCUUUACCUGUAGGAAAUUUCGUUGCAUGGUAGCUUAGUUCUUGAGUAAUCUAUUUUUGCUUAUGUUUUCUAACCCUUUCUUCCCUGUUAUGUCAUUGCUAAGCACGUAAAACUCUUUGUGGAUCAGCCCCCCAAGUUUUCCAAUUGUAAAAUAAUUUUUGCCCUAGAAUCAGUCAGUUCUUUUCAAAUGACACAAAUGGAGGUCCAUUUUCUGUGUUUGUGUUGGGGAGGGGUGGGGUUGGUUACUUUUUUUUUUCAAACGCUGAAUUUUCUUAGAACAUUAUAAACCGUGAAGAUAUGCUUUUCAUACAGGGAGACACAACUAAGAGCAUUUUAUUCCACAACCGAGGAGAUUUCUGUACUGUUUACUAAACAGCAGGAACAGUUGAAAUCAAUGCAGAAGACGCUGGAGGACGAGGAAAAUUAUGACAACACAUCAGCAGAUAUUGACCUCAAUGUGGUUAUUGAUGACGUAACUGCACCUGAAGGCAGAGGAAAUGAAGCAAUCAGAUACCAUAGUAACAUUACUGCCAAGGCAGGGUCAGCUACAACAUCCCAGAGGUCUUUCAGAAAUCAAGUUGUAACUUCUAGUGAUGAAAUUAGUGUGACCGAGAAACAUGACUGUGAUAUCAGAAGCCAAGAAGGUCAACAUACCGAAGAGGCAGAAUUUACAAGUGCAGACCUUGGUGUCAAGGGUGCCUUUGGUUCUGAAAUUGAUGGUGUUGGCACAGCACCCAUUAUGGAGGGAGACGGCAUUGACACCGAGCAUGUUCCUGAAACUGAAAGCCUUGGAAUCAAUGGCGAGCAGAAUAUUGAUUUGAAUAGAAUUGUCACUUUAGAAGGGGAUACAAUGCAACUUGAUGAUGAAACCAACGUACAAGAAAAUGAUGAGCAGGUUCCAAUGAUUUGUCAGCAGCGUCACUCACAAUCAAAUAGCCCCCAAGACACUCUCAAAGGUAUGGAAGAUACCGAAGCCUGUGGUACGAUCAGGACAGCAGACCUUUUAGCUUCUGAAGUUAUUGGUAGCUGGGCUUACAGCACAGCCC
rnacentral:lncRNA from 1 species